GCAGAGAAAGAGGAACCAGAAGAAAGAGAAACUCGCGACAACAGAGUUGCCGAAAGAGAAGUGUUGGAGCCUCAAACUUGAGGAUCAGCUUCUUGGGCCCCACUCCAGGGUGUCGCGGGGUCGGGUUCUUUCUGCCGCCCCCCGGAAGAUUCUCAGCUAACCCUUUCCUCGCCGAGACCAAGAGGCCCUCACUCUGACACCAUUCUGGGAGCCAAGCUACUGUAAGGAGCUGAUACCAUCCCUCGCCCGCGCAAACCGCCCAUCUCCCCAGACCCGCCCACCCCCUGCUGCGAAUCCCUGACGUUCUAGCCCGGCGAAGGUCCUCUUAAAUUAGGAAACAAUAGCUAUUUAAGAAGAAGCGCAAAUAACCCGCGCUUUGCGCGCCCAAUCGUGGCAUUCUUGGGAGUUCCUCGCGGGCAAGGAAGUCUGCUGCUCCCCGCAGCUGCGGAGGAGAGGAAGGAGUCUGCGUGCUGGGGCAGGGGUGUCGCGAACUUGGGGCAACCCACCUCCAGGGCCCCGCCCCCGCUUUCCCGCCUGCCGGGGACCUGCCGAACGGGGAACCACCCUCCUCCCUGAGGCAAAUUUGGGAGGGGAGGGGUCCAGAAGCUGUAGAGUCGGGGCGCCAAGCGCCAGAUUCUGCCGCUCGGAUUUCGGGGCAGUCCCUAGUCCCGCCUCAGGCCCCCGCGCUCACAGGGCGCUCCGCCGAGGGCGCGGGCCAGGCGCGCGGUGUCACCUCCACGAAGUCAUUUACUUGCCCUGAAGGAGCCGGCCCUCGACCCCUUGGAGGGUGGAGAUUCCUCCCAUUCCCUCCUCCCCCUCCCCCAGGUCGGCGAAGAGACGUGGAAUUGAGCUGGACCGAUGAUUCCGCGAGCUCUGUAAUUAUGCACACACUGAAAUCUUCACCGUUGACUUAAGUUACUUGGCGCUGCGAGGGCUGGGGCCCUGCAUAUUGAUUAAAUGCAGCCUCUAUUUACCUAAACAAUAAAUGUAGAGAUUAGCAACGUUCACUUGAUCACAAUAAUGGGAUUGACAAUUAAGGGGCAAUGCAUCCCAGAUGUAGCGGAACCUAUGGGCUGCCUGCAGCGGGCAAAGGGCUUCUCGGAGAGGGGCGCCCGGGCAGUUGCGGCGGCGGAGGUGGUGCAGAGCAGGAAGCGGCGCGGAAGCACAGCGGGAGGCGGAGGGGGACGCCCAGCCUCGUCAAGGUCUUCGGCCACCCCGCCCGGGAGGCUCGAAACUGGCUUUGAGGUACCUGAACGCCCCGACUCCCAGGGAGACAUCGGGAGCUCGGAGCCACCCUCCCUGUGGCGAUGGCACCUGCCUCAAGGCCGUCUCGCUUGCUGAUGCCUGGCUGGGAAGGAGGAUGGACGCCGCUGGCAUGUGCCCUGGGUUCUGAGAAGAGGUUCUAGGAAGGAGAGGGCUGAAAGGAACUAACUUAGAGAAGAACCCAGGAGAGUGGAACAUGGGGUAAUAAAAGACAGAUGAGCACAGUUGGGUGUGUGUGUGAAAUCAUGAUCCACCUGGAAGGGGUUCCAAACCCUGGACUGCCAUCGCAUACUGGCUGCAAAAGACACAUGCAUGUUGCUUCUCUGCUCUUUCCCUCUUCUCUGUGAGCCCCAUUAUCAACCUGGAAGGCUUCUCAUUCCACAUUUAGACACAAACAAAAGGAUUUGUCCCAGACACUCAAGAACAAGCCAGGACGAAGCCCUUUCCCGCCAAACCACGAAGGCCGGGAAAUAAACAGCGCCUGCACAGGCUCUGGGCGCGCGAGCCCGGGAGAGGACUUGGGUGGGAAGAGGAUCUAGAAGAUCGGAAGGAGGAAGAGAGGGAGGGAGAGAGGGAGGGAGGGAGAAGCUUGGAAAGAGAAGAGGGAGGAGGAAGAGGAGGGACCAGCAAGGCAGAGUUGGACCUGCGGUUCUGUUAUAACCGCCCUUCCCCGCCCAGGGUCUUUCCAUCCCCUGUCCCCCUCCCCCAUUUCAGAGCUGAAGGCCGACUGUGGGAGGAGGAGGUUAAACAAAGGGAAUCCUCCUCCUCUGGGACGGUUGAAGUGCGUUUGUCCUCUCCUUGCAGGCUCUGGAAAAACUGGCAGGAAUUUCCUUGUCGUGAGAAGAUGGACGAGUGUGUCUGCAGCCGAGGAGACAACUACAAACAGACUUUGGGCAGGGAAGGCGGGCGGGCGGGGGUGGGGGGUGGGGCGGGGGCCAGCUUUGAUGGCUCCAGCUCUGUUGUAAUUUUGUCUUCGCCAGAUAGAUUAGCUGGAACCGCCAGCCCUAGCUUGGAGUUCCGUUCCACGGAGUACCCUCCCUCCCCACCCCCCGCGUCAUCUCGCGCCUGGAGCCGGGUCGCCGCUCCUUCCGAAGUCUCGCUGGAAACUUCAAGGGCUGAUGGUUUUGUGUUCCUGACGUAAUUAGGAGGCCACGCAGCUCUCCAACACUCCGUUAAACAAAUAUAAUCCUGCAGGCUCAGAUUUGAAGAGGGAAGGUUCCAGCCAAGUCCACCUUAAGCCUGAGUUUGGGCGAUUACAGAAUCCAGGAAGAAAAUCUAGAUGGCACGGUCGCUCCGGUCUCAGUUCUACAGGGGAGGGAAGAAAGGGGGUGUUAGUGGGGAUAUUUGCUGUUCAUUUUUCCCGCAAUCUCCCUUCCAAAUCAGUCACUGAUUAAUGAGCAAAGCCCAUGCCACAAGUUAUAGAUUACUGUGACUGAGGAUCAUUUUGUUAAUAUCAGGCAACAAACUUUCCUUACUUGCAUCCCUGUGUCUGUAUUUACAGUAAAAACUUCCUUAGUCACAAACUGAUAUGUUUUUAGCCAUACCUUUUCUUUUUACUUACUUACUUUUAGAAAAGCAACAUCAGGAGUUGUGAUAGGAAAUAACAUGGGGGAGGGGUGUGUUAAAGGGAAGGAAGGAAAAGCCAACCUUUAUCCCAGAGUGUCCUGGAGGUAUGCCUACACUCCUGUUUAACAUUUUGUGGUUGUAGUGCCUUCUCCAAGCCCUGGAUGGAGGAGAAAAGAGUUGGAAGCCUCCUCAAAUCUGCCUAUGAAAUGGUAAAACUGAGGAAACUGGUACCCUGGCUACGAGAAGCUGAGUAAUGAUCAGAAUCCUCUGGCCUCUGGCUUUUCUUGAUAUUAGUUCAGGUCUAUGUGAAAAAAUUGCUUUAAUGUCUCCAAAGGUGGUUCCAUUAGAGUUGGCUGAGACAAUACAUGUGCAUCAUUUUGGAAGAGAUGCUCUUAAAAAGAAGAAAGCCACUACAGAAUGCCACAUUUGCUUAGGUCUAAGACCCUUCUGUGGUAGUUGGUGAGGGAGGGAGGAAAGUAAAACCCCAAGCUGAAUAGGCCCCCCAUAGUUUCCGAGUGAUGCAGUAAACAAAUCUAUGAUGCUUGUUGAAUAAUCUUCCAAUAAUUGCAGUCAUUAAAAUCAUCACACAGUC